rnacentral:piRNA from 3 species
ACUCUGAAUCCAGCGAUCCGAGU